rnacentral:rRNA from 1 species
UUAAGCAUAUCAAUAAGCGGAGGAAAAGAAACCAACAGGGAUUGCCCUAGUAACGGCGAGUGAAGCGGCAACAGCUCAAAUUUGAAAUCUGGCCCCCCGGCCCGAGUUGUAAUUUGUAGAGGAUGCUUCUGGGUAGCGACCGGUCUAAGUUCCUUGGAACAGGACGUCAUAGAGGGUGAGAAUCCCGUAUGCGACCGGCCCGCGCCCUCCACGUAGCUCCUUCGACGAGUCGAGUUGUUUGGGAAUGCAGCUCUAAAUGGGAGGUAAAUUUCUUCUAAAGCUAAAUACCGGCCAGAGACCGAUAGCGCACAAGUAGAGUGAUCGAAAGAUGAAAAGCACUUUGGAAAGAGAGUUAAAAAGCACGUGAAAUUGUUGAAAGGGAAGCGCUUACAACCAGACUUUGGGGCGGUGUUCCGCCGGUCUUCUGACCGGUCUACUCUCCGUCCCGAGGCCAACAUCAUCUGGGACCGCCGGACAAGACCUCAGGAAUGUAGCUCCCCCUCGGGGGAGUGUUAUAGCCUGUGGUGAUGCGGCGCGUCCCGGGUGAGGUCCGCGCUUCGGCAAGGAUGUUGGCGUAAUGGUUGUCAGCGGCCCGUCUUGAAACACGGACCAAGGAGUCUAACAUCUAUGCGAGUGUUCGGGUGUCAAACCCCUACGCGGAAUGAAAGUGAACGGAGGUGGGAAGGGGCAACCCUGCACCAUCGACCGAUCCUGAUGUCCUCGGAUGGAUUUGAGUAAGAGCAUAGCUGUUGGGACCCGAAAGAUGGUGAACUAUGCCUGAAUAGGGUGAAGCCAGAGGAAACUCUGGUGGAGGCUCGCAGCGGUUCUGACGUGCAAAUCGAUCGUCAAAUUUGGGUAUAGGGGCGAAAGACUAAUCGAACCCAU